rnacentral:rRNA from 1 species
UAUAGCAGCUAUAUCAACCUGCAACUCACAACUCACAGCCCCACUGAAGCUCAGCAGCUGUGAGCCUGGUCAGUACCUGGAUGGGAGACCUCCUGGGAAAAACUAAGGUUGCUGCUGGAA